rnacentral:rRNA from 1 species
CUUCCGCAUGGACGAAAGUCUGACGGAGCAACGCCGCGUGAGUGAAGAAGGUUUUCGGAUCGUAAAACUCUGUUGUGAGGGAAGAACAAGUAUCAACUAACUAUUGGUACCUUGACGGUACCUCACCAGAAAGCCACGGCUAACUACGUGCCAGCAGCCGCGGUAAUACGUAGGUGGCAAGCGUUGUCCGGAAUUAUUGGGCGUAAAGCGCGCGCAGGCGGUCCUUUAAGUCUGAUGUGAAAGCCCACGGCUCAACCGUGGAGGGUCAUUGGAAACUGGGGGACUUGAGUGCAGAAGAGGAAAGUGGAAUUCCACGUGUAGCGGUGAAAUGCGUAGAGAUGUGGAGGAACACCAGUGGCGAAGGCGACUUUCUGGUCUGUAACUGACGCUGAGGCGCGAAAGCGUGGGGAGCAAACAGGAUUAGAUACCCUGGUAGUCCACGCCGUAAACGAUGAAGUGCUAAGUGUUAGGGGGUUUCCGCCCCUUAAUGCUGCAGCUAACGCAUUAAGCACUCCGCCUGGGGAGUACGGCCGCAAGGCUGAAACUNAAAUGAAU